GAAGGUUCUGUAGCAUAAUGAUAUUGAGUGAGACUCCGGAUCUCAAGGCUGGGGGUUCGACUCCUUUCGGCUUCA